GAAAUAAACAGAAGGAGAGCAGUGAGAGGGUGUCACCAUUAGAGGGCAGAACUGGGCAGAGCAGAGGACUUGGGGACCUGCAGCCUGGACUCAUGUGGUCUCACCUCCAGAUGUUCCUCAUCUCUCUCCUCAGUCCUCUCUUCUCCACACUCACAGCUGACUGAACUGCACCUGA